rnacentral:lncRNA from 1 species
CAAAGUUUCCAGGAAUAUACAGUCCAGGAUUCUACUGGAUUCUACUACUACUACUGAAGUGCCAUCUUGUGGAAUAACUCAAUCAUUGCAUGCAUGUGGAAGCAUGUACAUACUUUACCAUAUGAGAGAUGUGCAGUGCAGAUUCUACAAAGCAGGAAAUAUUAUCAUUAAUCUAAAUCUUUCUAUCUCAUAUUUCCUCAUGUUGCAAGCUGACAAUGACUGCAUUCCCCCAAAACAUUUGACACUUCAUCAGAGCAAGAACUUUGUUGCUAUUUCAUAUGUGCUGUGUUGACUGUCAUGCCACACUUACAAUAAAUACCAUUUUAUAAACAUUACAAUACAACAUGAAUCUGUGCUAGUAUCAAAUAUGCCAGAUAAAUUGUAUAACGGCUGUUUUGGUAUUGUCCCCACAUGUGACCGCCACUCCUUCAUGUCUCAGCCUUUGUCAAGAGACAAAACCUGGCUGAAAUGUCACACCCAUUGUUCCUGGUCUGCUUCCAUGGGUAUUGUUUAAAACUAGGGCAUGAUAACUUUUCUCCCAGAAACACGUCCUCCACUUCUGCAUUUUCCUUUCUGCUCAAUAUGACAAAGAGAACAGCUUGUUUUGGGGCUCAGCGGUUUCAAAGUUGGAACCGAGUUGGUUUUGAUCAUUUGUUUUUCUUCCUGCUUCUUGGAACCAUAUCUGUCGGUGCCUUAGGAGGGUCUGACCCAUGGAGAGGAGCCGCCUCCGGGUCACUGGAGGAUCAGCCACUCCUGCAGCUUUCCUCCACCACAGUCUUACCGAUGCGUCUGCAGAGUCCGCAUAACACCAACACGACAGAAAACACUGUCAGAAAAAGAAGGUCUUCCUCCACUGACACUGAUGUUUUGCCUCCAACGUUCCUGACUGCUGCUGAUCUUCCUUUUCUCAGAGAUCUGGUAUCAGACAAGAAGUUCACAGUUCGUUUAGGUCUUCACGUCUCUCUCACCGGUUGGAGUGAGCAUCUUGACCCUCAGCUUCUCCUGUCCAAGUACAAAGAGCCAGGCAUCUACAACACUGGAGAGAAGGCAGGAGUCUUUACAAUGAGAGUGCUGGGAGUGACCAGAGUGACCUCCUCACCCUGAUUUCAUCAUCCAGCCCUGGAUCUGCAGAAAUUCAUGACAAAUUAAUAAUUUCACUCUCUGCUCUUUCUUCUUGAAGCCCAUGGUGUCGUUGUUGUGGGUGUGAUGUUGUUAGCCAUCACUGUUUUGUGUUACUGAUCAAUUAAAGAUUAACGUUAUUAUCUUGAAACGAGCCUGUGAUAUGUGUGGUAGUUGACAGUUGGUCCCGCCCACUAAACUGACCGGCCAAUAGAAAUAGACGCUGAGUCUUUAUCCCCACCCUCUAUGCUGGGGAUCACGUUGACCGUGACGAAGUUUCUCUGCACUUCACCGGUCGCGAAGGUGGCGGCACAGUGUAUGGUUUAACGGUUCGUUGGAAAUA